rnacentral:lncRNA from 1 species
UUUUUUUUUUUUUUUUUUUUUUGGGAAUUCUAAGUUGUCUUUAAGGGACUACAGGUUGAAAAUCCAUACAAAUUAAGCCAUACUUUGAAGAUUAAUUUGGCUGGAUGUGUUAAAAUAUCUUCAUUUGCCAUGUUUGGGUUCCAGCAUAUAGGGAGAGCGUCUUCGGAGGCUAAUGCUUUCCUGGGCUGGUAGUAUUUUAUUGUGAGGCAGGUGCUACACAAAUGCAAUUCAAGUUUCCAUUUAUUGUUCUAUCCUAUAUUAAUCUGAUUCUGAAACAAGAAGUGUGGCUAAGGAGAGAAAGCACUAUCUUGAGGUUCAGAAGGAUAGGUUUAAAUCCAGCUCAAUCCCUUGCAGAACAACCUCAGGAAAAUCAUUCAACUUCUUUUAACUUUGGAUGUUUUAUCCAAAAAAAGAGAAAGUAGAAAUUCUGGAUAAAGAGAAACGUAUGGCCAGAGACCUGGAGGAGAAGAUUAUAGAAGACCUUGGGUUUCACUAAGGUAGAGACUACAUAUUGGGGUGGGGGUUGGGGAGGAAAAAGAAAAUGGUGGUAUGGAGAAAGUUCGAUAAUAAGAUCAGAAUAAGGAUGUGAACUUAACCCAGUGGGCCAAUGAAAAGUAACAUGAGAUGGCAUGUGUAAAAGAUUAGCCAAAGGUGGUAGCAAUAUGCAUCAAAGAACAAAGUUCCUGGAAUUGGGAAGAUCCCCCCAGAGUUGCCAUAAUUCAUUUGUGAGGAGAGGAGAUCUGAAGUAGCGUUAUGGUAGAAAGAAUAAAGGGAAGAAAACCAGCAGGACUUGGUGAGUCUCUCCCAUGUAUGUAUAUACACAUAAGCAUACACACAAAAGGAAGAGAAGGAUGAGUCAAGGAUGACUGCAAGUUUUAAGUCUGGGUGAUAGCAAAGAUGAUGACAUCAUACACAGAGAAAUAAGAUGGGAGAGGAGAAUAGAAAGGGUUUCCAAGAUGUUGAAUUAGAAUGUGAUGGCAAGUCAUCCAUGGGGAAACAAUGAUUGAGGUUUUGGUGUGUGGACAUGAUGAUGUGGAUCUAUCUAGACCAAAUAUGACAGUGAUAGUUGAAGCCUUAAGAACAGGUGAGCUCCCCCGGUAAAGAGAGAAAAAAGAGCUCAUAGCUCAGGAUUUAGAAUGGAACAUGGGAGAAUUAAAUAUGAUUAUGUAUGAUUAGCACAGUGGCAGGGAUAUAGUAAGAGAUCAAUAAAAGGCAGGAUUUACUAUAGAUACAAACACAGAGAUUUAAAAGAUGGAGGUCCCAUCGUGGCUUAGUGGUUAACUAAUCCGACUAGGAACCAUGAGCUUGCAGGUUUGAUCCCUGGCCUCCCUCAGUGGUGGGUUAAGGAUCUGGGGUUGCCGUGAGCUAUGACAUAGGUUGCAGAUGUGGCUCAGAUUCCACCUUGCUGUGGCUGUGGCAUAGGCCAGCAGCUACAGCUCUGACUGGACCCCUAGCCUGGGAACUUCCAUAUGCCACGAGUGCGGCCCUAGAAAAGACAAAGAAAAAAAAAAAAAGAAAGAAAAUUAAUUAUGAAUUGACAAACUUCCCAAAAGAAAAACCUAGCUUUUCAACACUUACUACAAAUUCUCCCAAAAAAUAGAACAGGGGAAAAUACUUUCCAACUGAUUCUAUGAGGCCAGUAAUAUCAGAAAGAGACAAAGACAUCCCAAGAAAGAAAACUAGGGACUAAAAUCCCUAUGAAUACAGAAGCAAAACUUCUCAGCAAAAUAGCAGAAAACAGAUUCAUAUAUCACAACUGAGAUUUAUCCCAGGAAUGGACAGGUAGUUUGACAUAUGGAAAUCAAUCUGUGUAAUACACUAUAUUAAUAGACUAAUGGACCAAAUCACAUGAGGUAGUGGAAUAUAAUGGCCAAGAGCAUGGUCCUCAGAACCAACUACAUAGGUUUCUACGCUAGCUCCACCAUUAGCCACCUGUGAGUUCUAGUCAGAAACCUUUCUUUGCCUGUUUCCCCCUAGGUUAUUUUGAGGAUUAAGGAUUACAUUAGUAGAAUGUAAAGCACUUAGAAUAGUGCCUGAUACAUAGAAAAUGCUAGUCAAGUAAUUUCUGUUGUUAUUAUUUUACUAUUUUUUAUUACCAGACUUGCUAAAGAUCAUGAAAAUUAUGACUUAUCUCUUAUCUAUGCCACAAGCAUUUCAAAUGACAUACUCAAUUUAUAUCUUUAAAUACUAUAGAAAUAAUGUUGAGAAUUAGCAGAUGCUUUCAGAGAUUAAAAUAAAUUCAUCAAUACAAGAAAAGGAAUUUAUCAUAAUUAAAAUCUGGAUAGGCUCUAAUUAAACCUAUUUAUCCUCCCAGUGUUUUCCAUCUCAGAAAAUGACGCCACCCAGUUUCUCAGCUCAAAAAAAUUUUUAAUUAUCUUGCCUUUCUUUUUUCCCCUUCAUAUUCAGUAUCCAGUGCUCAAUUCUUCAAAAUUCAUCCCAACGCCUUCACUUCCUACCUUCCCAGCAGUAGCAUGUUAGUCUGAGCGGUCAGCAUCCCUCUUUGGAUUACUUGUCUUCUGACUGGUUUCUCUGCUUUCACUCCCUCUCCCCUGCAGCCUAGCCUCUACACAAUAGCCAGAACUACACUUUUAAACUGUAAAUCAGAUCUUGACGGUUUAUAACAUGCCCUACAUGGCCACAUAAUCUGGCCCCAGGACACUGCUUUCCAACCCUGUUAUCUGUUCUCAGCACUGCAGCCACAGCUAAUUUCCAUGUUGAUCCUCUCACUGGCCAAGCACAUUCUUGCCUUAGGAUCUUCAUGCUUGCUGUUUUCCCUGCAGGAACACCCUUCCCUCAUAGCUCCCUCUCUCAGUUCACUCAGGUGUGUGCUCAAAUUUUACCUCCUCAGAGAGGAUUUCUCUGACCAUCCUCUCUAACAUAGCACCCUGCUGCACUCUAUCUUCUUGUGCAGACUUAUUUUUCUUCAUACCAUCUACGGUUAUUUGACAUUACACAUUUAUCUGUUUUUUGCCUGUCUUUUUACAUUCAAGUUUGAACUCCAUGAUUUUGUCUGUUUUGCUCACUGCUACAUUCUUGCUGCCUAAAACAGUACCCAACACAUAGUUAGAUGAUCAAAAAAUAUUUGGUGAAUAAUCAGUGAAGACAGAAUAUACCCUCACACCAUGCACUAAAAAUGGCUUAAAGUCUUGAACAUAAGACAAGACACCAUAAAACUCCUAGAAGAGAACAUAGGCAAAACAUUCUCUGACAUUAACUGUACAAAUGUUUUCC